rnacentral:rRNA from 1 species
CCUACGGGGGGCAGCAGUGGGGAAUAUUGCACAAUGGGGGAAACUCUGAUGCAGCGACGCCGCGUGAGUGAAGAAGCGUCUCGGCGCGUAAAGCUCUGUUUGUGGGGAAGAAACACGGUUCGCGAGAGCCGCGGACGGUACCCGACCAAGAAGCCCCGGCUAACUACGUGCCAGCAGCCGCGGUAAUACGGAGGGGGCAAGCGUGAUCCGGAUUCACUGGGUGUAAAGGGAGCGUAGACGGCGAGACAAGUCUGGGGUGAAAGGCCGGGGCCCAACCCCGGGACUGCCCUGGAAACUGUCUGGCUGGAGUGCAGGAGAGGUAAGUGGAAUUCCUAGUGUAGCGGUGAAAUGCGUAGAUAUUA